rnacentral:rRNA from 1 species
AGAAUCAACGCUGGCGGCGUGCCUAACACAUGCAAGUCGAACGAGAAAAUGGUAGCAAUACCAUGAGUAAAGUGGCGCACGGGUGAGUAACACGUGACUAACCUACCCUUGAGUGGGGGAUAACUGAGGGAAACCUUAGCUAAUACCGCAUAAUACCCACGGGUCAAAGGAGCAAUUCGCUCGAGGAGGGGGUCGCGGCCGAUUAGUUAGUUGGCGGGGUAAUGGCCCACCAAGACGAUGAUCGGUAUCCGGCCUGAGAGGGCGCACGGACACACUGGAACUGAAACACGGUCCAGACUCCUACGGGAGGCAGCAGUGGGGAAUUUGCGCAAUGGGGGAAACCCUGACGCAGCAACGCCGCGUGGAGGAUGAAGUCCUUCGGGACGUAAACUCCUUUCGAUCGGGACGAUUAUGACGGUACCGGAAGAGAAGCCCGGCUAACUUCGUGCCAGCAGCCGC